rnacentral:rRNA from 1 species
ACAAUGGGCGGAAGCCUGAUCCAGCCAUGCCGCGUGUGUGAAGAAGGCCUUUUGGUUGUAAAGCACUUUAAGCGAGGAGGAGGCUCCUUUAGUUAAUACCUAAAGUGAGUGGACGUUACUCGCAAAAUAAGCACCGGCUAACUCUGUGCCAGCAGCCGCGGUAAUACAAAGGGUGCGAGCGUUAAUCGGAUUUACUGGGCGUAAAGCGUGCGUAGGCGGCUUUUUAAGUCGGAUGUGAAAUCCCUGAGCUUAACUUAGGAAUUGCAUUCAAUACUGGAAAGCUAGAGUAUGGGAGAGGAUGGUAGAAUUCCAGGUGUAGCGGUGAAAUGCGUAAAGAUCUGGAGGAAUACCGAUGGCGAAGGCAGCCAUCUGGCCUAAUACUGACGCUGAGGUACGAAAGCAUGGGGAGCAAACAGGAUUAGAUACCCUGGUAGUCCAUGCCGUAAACGAUGUCUACUAGCCGUUGGGGCCUUUGAGGCUUUAGUGGCGCAGCUAACGCGAUAAGUAGACCGCCUGGGGAGUACGGUCGCAAGACUAAA